rnacentral:rRNA from 1 species
UACGGGGGGGGUAAGCGUUGUUCGGAAUUACUGGGCGUAAAGGGCUCGUAGGCGGCCAACUAAGUCAGACGUGAAAUCCCUCAGCUUAACUGGGGAACUGCGUCUGAUACUGGAUGGCUUGGAUUCGGGAGAGGAAUGCGGAAUUCCACGUGUAGCGGUGAAAUGCGUAGAGAUGUGGAGGAACACCGAUGGCGAAGGCAGCCUUCUGGGCCAACACUGACGCUCAUGCACGAAAGCGUGGGGAGCAAACAGG